GCUUGUCUACAUCACAAAGUUGCAGCGCUGGUGAGGGGGUUACAGCGCUGCAACUUAGGAGGUGUACACAUCUGCAGGGCAUCACCAGCGCUGCAACUCCCUGUUUGCAGCGCUGGCCGUACUCCCAUUUUGUCUCGGGUGUAGAGGAUCCAGCGCUGGUGAUCCAGCGCUGGUAAUCAAGUGUAGACACUUACCAGCGCUUUUCUUGACCUCCGUGGAAUAAGCAGGUAUCCCAGCAUACCUGAGGAAGCCUCUGGUAAUCAAGCAGGUCUCCUUCCCUGCGGUUUGCAGGGGGGCUCGGGGAACGCGAGAGCAAACUGCGGCGAAGCUGGUCUCCUUCCCCGGUUUGCUCUCGCGUUCCCCGAACCCCCGUGCAAGCAGGUCUCCUUCCCUGCGGUUUGCAGGGGGGUUCGGGGAACGCGAGAGCAAACCGCGGCGAAGCUGGUCUCCUUCCCCGGUUUGCUCUCGCGUUCCCCGAACCCCCCUUGAAGCCGCCCAACAGCGCUGCAGUGUGGCCACAUCUAACACCACUUGCAGCGCUGGUUGCUGUAAGUGUGGCCACUCUGCAGCGCUAGCCCUAUACAGCUGUACUA